GCAGUGCGUGGCCGAAUGGUUACGCUGUCCGCUUUGUAGGCGGAUGAUUCUGGGUUCGAUUCCCAUCUGCUCCA
rnacentral:tRNA from 1 species